rnacentral:tRNA from 1 species
UGUUCUGUGGCUUAUAGUUGAUUAAAGUGCCGGUCUAGCAAAUACGGAGUUUUGGGUUCGAACCCCACCAGAACAC